rnacentral:rRNA from 1 species
UACGUAGGGGGCUAGCGUUGUCCGGAAUCAUUGGGCGUAAAGCGCGUGUAGGCGGUCCGGUAAGUCCGCUGUGAAAGUCGGGGGCUCAACCCUCGAAAGCCGGUGGAAACUGUCGGGCUAGAGUGCGGAAGAGGCGAGUGGAAUUCCUGGUGUAGCGGUGAAAUGCGCAGAUAUCAGGAGGAACACCAAUUGCGAAGGCAGCUCGCUGGGACGUUACUGACGCUGAGGCGCGAAAGCGUGGGGAGCGAACAGG